UCGUUUUGCCAUCAAAUAAACUAAAAUCGCAACAAAGCAGAGAACACUAACAUGGCCCAUGCGCAAGAAUUUCACGCAGAUUUGUGAAGCGUUCCAAUUAUUU